UACGUAGGUGACAAGCGUUGUCCGGAUUUACUGGGCGUAAAGAGCGCGCAGGCGGUCGAUCAAGUCGAGUGUGAAAGCCCCCGGCUCAACUGGGGAGGGUCAUUCGAUACUGAUCGACUCGAAGGCAGGAGAGGGUAGUGGAAUUCCCGGUGUAGUGGUGAAAUGCGUAGAUAUCGGGAGGAACACCAGUGGCGAAAGCGACUUCCUGGACCAAUACUGACGCUCAUGUGCGAAAGCGUGGGGAGCAAACAGG
rnacentral:rRNA from 1 species